GUCGGAGCUCAUUUAAUUUUUCAUUGAAUCAAAAUAUCCUCCUGAUCGAGGUCUGUAGUAUGUUUUGUUGAGAAGAAGGGUACUUUGUUGAUACGUUUAAACUUUCAUCUUGAACCUGGGCCUUUGUUACCUCCAGGGAUUUCAGGUGACCCCCUGUUUUGAUUGACUUGUCUUCACAGCAGUCGCAGUAGGAGUCGGAGGAGAGGCGGCCGGAGGCGCUCACGCAGCCGCAGCAGCACGUACCGGAGCUACCGCAGUCACAGGUAUCCUGGCCAGGGACGAGCAGUGCUGCUCAGGUCCUCACCGCUGCCCUGCAGAGUCUGGGCCUGCCCCUCCUCACAUGAUAACGGAUGUUUUAUUCACUUGAGUAGCGUCUAACAGCGGUCGUGUUCCCCGCAGACGGACCUACAGCAGGAGCCACUCCAGGAGUCGGUCCUACACCAGGAGGUCCAGGUGAACUAUUGAACUCCUUCAGGGCUUGACGCAGAGGAACAACUCAUUCUAUUCUGAUGAGCAAUAGAAGAAUACAAUGGGUGGUGGUAGCCCCACCACAACAUGGACAGCUCCAUCUCUCCAUCUAGUUAACGCUGUGUCACAGACAAUAGGGGUUCUGAUUAUAAUAGUAAUUAUACUUUGAACAGCAGGGAAACUAAUAAGCUACUCAUUAAUGCAUCAAUGAUCAUUGAAUAGUCCUGGCUAGUGCAUAUAGACACAUUUAUUACAUUAGAACAUUGAAGUAAGAUAAAAACUAGGGGCAUGGGGAGGAUUAUCCAAUCAACGUACUGCAUUCAUAUUAUCCCACCCAAACUAACGGUGGCCGUGGUGUCGCAGGUCGGACUCUGAUGACAGUGCCUCCUCCAGGAGCGCCAGCAGGAGGUGCAGGCGCCGCCGGAGGAGCCACAGUGACCGCAGUUCGGAGCGGCGCUCGUGGUCCUCUCCCUGGUCUAGCCGUAGCUCCUCCAGACACAGGACCCUCAGCAGCGGCAGCCGGUACAGCUGAGGCCCAGAACCAGACACCCUCCUCUCUGGAUGUCUGGAGACCACGUGGACCAGCUCUACCAAUCGUCAGGGAAUGUUCUACGAUCCGUUUCUUCCAGAAUAUUAUUUUCGGACUGUCUUUGUUUUUACUACCUUCCCCACAAGUUAAAGGAACGUCCCUCCCUGUAAAUGUUUGUAAUAUUUUUGAUUGUAAUUUCUUUAUUAAUUGUUAAUAACCAAAUCGUCAGGAC
ensembl:lncRNA